rnacentral:sRNA from 1 species
GGCGGGGAGGGGAGGGGCCGGGCGGGAGGAGCCGCUCGCCGGUUUUGCCGCCUCUGCCUUCGCCUUCGCAGCCGCCUCCAGGGCAAUUUGCAUAUUUCUCCAAGAACCAUCCAGAACCUGAGCAGCCUGUCUUCAGACAGAGAGAGGCCCACGGCUGUUUCUUGAAAUCUGGGGCUGGGAAUGGCCAUGUGGAACAGGCCAUGCCAGAGGCUGCCUCAGCAGCCUCUGGUAGCUGAGCCCACUGCAGAGGGGGAGCCACACCUGCCCACGGGCCGGGAGCUGACUGAGGCCAACCGCUUCGCCUAUGCUGCCCUCUGUGGCAUCUCCCUGUCCCAGCUAUUUCCUGAACCCGAACACAGCUCCUUCUGCACAGAGUUCAUGGCAGGCCUGGUGAAGUGGCUGGAGUUGUCCGAAGCCGUCUUGCCAACCAUGACUGCUUUUGCGAGCGGCCUGGGAGGUGAAGGAGCAGAUGUGUUUGUUCAAAUUUUACUGAAGGACCCCAUCUUGAAGGACGACCCGACGGUGAUCACUCAGGACCUUCUGAGCUUCUCACUCAGGGAUGGGCACUAUGAUGCCCGGGCCAGAGUCCUUGUUUGCCACAUGACCUCCCUGCUCCAAGUGCCCUUGGAGGAGCUGGAUGUCCUUGAAGAGACGUUCCUGGAGAGCCUGAAGGAAAUCAAAGAGGAGGAAUCUGAAAUGGCCAGGCAUCCCGAAGAAGAAAGAAAACCGGAGGAAAUGGAAGCGUUAUCUCCUGAUAGGCCUGGCGACUGUCGGAGGCGGAACGGUGAUCG